GGAUAGCUCAUUCGAUAGAGCAUGAGACUCUUAAAUCUCGGGUUUGUGGGUUCGAGCCCCACGUUGGGCA